rnacentral:rRNA from 1 species
UACAGAGGUCUCAAGCGUUGUUCGGAUUCAUUGGGCGUAAAGGGUGCGUAGGUGGCCGCGGUAAGUCGGGUGUGAAAUCUCGGAGCUUAACCCGGAAAGGUCAACCGAUACUGCGGGCUAGAGUGCAGAAGGGGCAACUGGAAUUCUCGGUGUAGCGGUGAAAUGCGUAGAUAUCGAGAGGAACACCUGCGGCGAAGGCGGGUUGCUGGGCUGACACUGACGCUGAUGUGCGAAAGCUAGGGGAGCGAACGGG